CACUGCUUUCCAAUUCGAGACCCACACACAGCACUAGUGGAAACUCUGUGGAGCCCUAGGGUCUCCGGGCUGGGGACAGGAAAAGUUCUGUUACUCCCCUGACUGUCCGCUAAUCCAGCCGUCAGGAGAGAAAGAAGGGGGAAAGGGGUGAAGGGCUGCCUGCUGAACUAAUUUCUCCUCGGAAAUGUCUCGGAGAAGAAUGAAAAACCACGUUUAGUCCUUUUUCAGCAGCUCAGGCAGUAGCGGGUUGGGUUCUCAAUGUGUAAAGUAG
rnacentral:lncRNA from 1 species